GACGAACGCUGGCGGCGUGCUUAACACAUGCAAGUCGAACGAAGUGGCGAACGGGUGAGUAACGCGUAAUCAACCUGCCCUUCAGAGGGGGACACCAGUUGGAAACGACUGCUAAUACCGCAUACUGAAGGAGGGGUUUGCGUCUGAUUAGCUAGUUGGAGGGGUAACGGCCAACCAAGGCGAUGAUCAGUAGGCGGGUUGAGAGGGUGAACGGGCCCAUUUGGACUUAGACACGGCCCAGACCCCGUCGGGAGGCAGCAGUGGGGAAAUUUCCGCAAUGGACGAAAGUCUGACGGAGCAACGCCGCGUGAGUGAUGAAGGCCUUCGGGGUGUAAAGCUCUGUUAAGCGGGACGCGGUACCCGAAUAGAAAGCCACGGCUAACUACGUGCCAGCAGCCGCGGUAAUAC
rnacentral:rRNA from 1 species